rnacentral:rRNA from 1 species
AUUGAACGCUGGCGGCAUGCUUUACACAUGCAAGUCGGACGAGUGGCGAACGGGUGAGUAAUAUAUUGGAACGUACCGAGUAAUGGGGGAUAACCAAUCGAAAGCUUGGCUAAUACCGCAUAUUAUUAGAGCGGCCCAUAUAUGAUUAGCGAGUGUGUGGGGUAACGGCCUACCAAGGAGAAGAGCAGUAGCUGGUCUGAGAGGAUUAUCGGCCACACUGGUACUGAGACACGGCCCAGACUCCUACGGUAGGCAGCAGUGGGGAAUUUUGGACAAUGGGCGCAAGCCUGAUCCAGCCAUGCCGCGUGUCUGAAGAAGGCCUUCGGGUUGUAAAGGACUUUUGUUAGGGAAGCGGUACCUAAAGAAUAAGCACCGGCUAACUACGUGCCAGCAGCCGCGGUAAUUC